rnacentral:tRNA from 1 species
AAAGGAUUAGUUAAUCAUAUAACGUCAGAAUGUCAAACUGAAGUAAUCAACAAUGAUAUCCUUUU